UUUCUCGUAACAAAAAAACAAUAAACUAACAAAAAGAAAACAAAACCUUACAGAGGAAGAAACGGAUAACAAAAAGAUUCGCCACGUGUCACGAUACCAGAGGAUCGACAGGGCGAAUUUUCCUUGUCAAGCGCGUCGGCGGAGUCUUCGUCCUUGAGAGGGUGUGUAUUAAUAGCCACAAAACUCUUCUUCUUCUGCAUACAAAAAUCAAAUCCAAUUCCGAAGUACAUACAGAGCUCGCCGCAGAAUCAAACAUGGCCGCCGUUGGUACAAUCCGCGAUAACCAAGGUUCCGCCAACAGCGUCGAGACCGAAAGCCUUGCUCGCUACGCCGUCGAUGAACACAACAAGAAGGAGAAUACUCUGCUUGAGUUUGUAAGGGUAUUGGAUGAUAAGGUACAAGUGGUUUCGGGCACUAUGCAUUAUCUGAAAAUCGAGGUCACAGAUGGCGGAAAGAAGAAGGUUUAUGAAGCCAAGGUGUGGGUAAAGCCAUGGGAGCACUUCAAGCAAGUGCAGGAGUUCAAGCUUGUUUCUGACUCCUAGUUUGUUCGUCUCCAAGGGGACAGACGAGAAAGCAAAGUUCAACAUGCUUCUAAAGGUGCAACAAGGGAGGCAAGGAAGAGAAGUUUAAAGUCGAAGUACGUAAGAAUUAAGAAUAAUGAAGUUACCUUGAAUUUGUGUCAUGGCAAAUUGUGGUGUAUAUACAUGGUUGGUUGCUGUUCAGUGUUUCUUUUGUGUCGUAAUCAAUAACAAAACCUGGUCACUAGUGAUGUACUCGGUUUUCCAAUUUGUAUCUAUAUUAUAAGGUAUUAUAAGUCUAUUGCCCAUCCCUAUUUUCUUCUUCUUUCUUUUCCAUCCUUUUUCUGUUCAUUAAUUUCAAUUGGCGGUGCUAGUAUUACGGUCCAGCGGUAUUUUACUUCACUUGUAAGUGAAAAGUCUUAGGAUUUUUUUAUUUUUUUUAUUUUUAUUAUUAGAAAUUGUGAGAGGUUUUAGAUUUAAUUCUCGUCAAAGACGAAGUUGAACCAUAUUACUACGAGUAACCCAAUGUAAGACUUA
rnacentral:sRNA from 1 species